AACGAACGCUGGCGGCAUGCCUAACACAUGCAAGUCGAACGAGACCUUCGGGUCUAGUGGCGCACGGGUGCGUAACACGUGGGAAUUUGCCUCGGGGUAUGGAAUAACUCAGGGAAACUUGAGCUAAUACCAUAUAAUGUCUUCGGACCAAAGAUUUAUCGCCCUGAGAUAAGCCCGCGUAGGAUUAGCUAGUUGGUGGGGUAAAGGCUCACCAAGGCGACGAUCCUUAGCUGGUCCGAGAGGAUGAUCAGCCACACUGGGACUGAGACACGGCCCAGACUCCUACGGGAGGCAGCAGUGGGGAAUAUUGGACAGUGGGCGAAAGCCUGAUCCAGCAAUGCCGCGUGAGUGAUGAAGGCCUCGGUUGUAAAGGUACUCGUUUUACUCGGUACCGAUAAUGACGUACGGACGAGAA
rnacentral:rRNA from 1 species